rnacentral:rRNA from 1 species
UAACGCGUAGGUAACCUGCCUAUUAGUGGGGGAUAACUAUUGGAAACGAUAGCUAAUACCGCAUAAUAGUGUUUAACACAUGUUAGAGACUUAAAAGAUGCAAUUGCAUCACUAGUAGAUGGACCUGCGUUGUAUUAGCUAGUUGGUGGGGUAACGGCCUACCAAGGCGACGAUACAUAGCCGACCUGAGAGGGUGAUCGGCCACACUGGGACUGAGACACGGCCCAGACUCCUACGGGAGGCAGCAGUAGGGAAUCUUCGGCAAUGGGGGCAACCCUGACCGAGCAACGCCGCGUGAGUGAAGAAGGUUUUCGGAUCGUAAAGCUCUGUUGUAAGAGAAGAACGUGUGUGAGAGUGGAAAGUUCACACAGUGACGGUAACUUACCAGAAAGGGACGGCUAACUACGUGCCAGCAGCCGCGGUAAUACGUAGGUCCCGAGCGUUGUCCGGAUUUAUUGGGCGUAAAGCGAGCGCAGGCGGUUUAAUAAGUCUGAAGUUAAAGGCAGUGGCUUAACCAUUGUUCGCUUUGGAAACUGUUAAACUUGAGUGCAGAAGGGGAGAGUGGAAUUCCAUGUGUAGCGGUGAAAUGCGUAGAUAUAUGGAGGAACACCGGUGGCGAAAGCGGCUCUCUGGUCUGUAACUGACGCUGAGGCUCGAAAGCGUGGGGAGCAAACAGGAUUAGAUACCCUGGUAGUCCACGCCGUAAACGAUGAGUGCUAGGUGUUAGGCCCUUUCCGGGGCUUAGUGCCGCAGCUAACGCAUUAAGCACUCCGCCUGGGGAGUACGACCGCAAGGUUGA